GAUUCUAUAACAAUAUUGUCACUGGUUUUCCAUAUCUUAGCUUUUGUAGAGGUGUUAUUAAUACGCUUACAAGGAUAAUCUGGAUAUUCCUCUUGUUUGAAGAGUUCAAACCAAAUCCAAAACUUAAUAUUUUUCUUUUCUUGUCCUAAGUAGGCAUAGAAUUCUUCUUGGUAAAUGGUUCUAAUGACCUUAGGAACAGUGCUAAAGAACCAAUCAUUUCUUUGCUUAUUGACUUCAGAAUAGAAGUCCUUUCUUAAGAGAUCCUUAUUGAUAUCAAA
rnacentral:lncRNA from 1 species